rnacentral:tRNA from 1 species
GCGCCUGUAGCUCAGUGGCUAAGGGUGCCAGCCACAUACACUGGAGCUGGUGGGUUCGAAUCCACCCGGGCCUG